rnacentral:rRNA from 1 species
UACGAAGGGGGCUAGCGUUGUUCGGAAUUACUGGGCGUAAAGCGCACGUAGGCGGACUGUUAAGUCAGGGGUGAAAUCCCGGGGCUCAACCCCGGAGCUGCCUUUGAUACUGGCGGUCUCGAGUCCGGAAGAGGUUAGUGGAAUUCCCAGUGUAGAGGUGAAAUUCGUAGAUAUUGGGAAGAACACCAGUGGCGAAGGCGGCUAACUGGUCCGGUACUGACGCUGAGGUGCGAAAGCGUGGGGAGCAAACAGG